rnacentral:rRNA from 1 species
CCCUUAGAUGUUCUGGGCGGCCCGCGCACUACAAUGGCGCUUUCAGCGAGUUCCUAUGUUGAAUUUUCCUGGGUAUUCUUGGAAGCGGCGUCUUGACUUGGGAUAGAUCCUUGUAAUUGUUGGUUUUGAACGAGGAAUUCCUUGUAAUCGCGGUUGAUCAGCUCGCGUUGAAUAUGUCCCUGCCCUUUGUACACACCGCCCGUCGCUCCUACCGAUGAAUCGUCCGGUGAAGUUCACAGAGUGGCGGUUCGUGGAGUUGCUCGCGAAGUGAAAUGGACCUCACGAUUUAGAGGAAGGAGAAGUCGUAACA